AGUGAACGCUGGCGGUAGGCCUAACACAUGCAAGUCGAACGGCAGCACAGUAAGAGCUUGCUCUUACGGGUGGCGAGUGGCGGACGGGUGAGGAAUGCAUCGGAAUCUACUUUUUCGUGGGGGAUAACGUAGGGAAACUUACGCUAAUACCGCAUACGACCUACGGGUGAAAGCAGGGGAUCUUCGGACCUUGCGCGAUUGAAUGAGCCGAUGUCGGAUUAGCUAGUUGGCGGGGUAAAGGCCCACCAAGGCGACGAUCCGUAGCUGGUCUGAGAGGAUGAUCAGCCACACUGGAACUGAGACACGGUCCAGACUCCUACGGGAGGCAGCAGUGGGGAAUAUUGGACAAUGGGCGCAAGCCUGAUCCAGCCAUACCGCGUGGGUGAAGAAGGCCUUCGGGUUGUAAAGCCCUUUUGUUGGGAAAGAAAAGCAGCAGGUUAAUACCCCGCUGUUCUGACGGUACCUAAAGAAUAAGCACCGGCUAACUUCGUG
rnacentral:rRNA from 1 species